rnacentral:rRNA from 1 species
CAGCCGCCGCGGUAAUACAGAGGGUGCAAGCGUUAAUCGGAAUUACUGGGCGUAAAGCGCGCGUAGGUGGUUUGUUAAGUCGGAUGUGAAAUCCCCGGGCUCAACCUGGGAACUGCAUCCGAAACUGGCAAGCUAGAGUAUGGUAGAGGGUAGUGGAAUUUCCUGUGUAGCGGUGAAAUGCGUAGAUAUAGGAAGGAACACCAGUGGCGAAGGCGACUACCUGGACUGAUACUGACACUGAGGUGCGAAAGCGUGGGGAGCAAACAGGAUUAGAUACCCCCGUAGUCCCUGUCUCUUAUAA